rnacentral:rRNA from 1 species
CCUACGGGAGACUGCAGUAGGGAAUCUUCCACAAUGGACGAAAGUCUGAUGGAGCAACGCCGCGUGAGUGAAGAAGGGCUUCGGCUCGUAACGCUCUGUCGGUCGGGAAGAAAGAUAGAGGUUGUAACUGGUUUUUAAUUGACGGUACUUACUUAGAAAGUCACGGCUAACUACGUGCCAGCAGCCGCGGUAAUACGUAGGUGGCAAGCGUUGUCCGGAUUUAUUGGGCGUAAAGCGAGUGCAGGCGGUUCAAUGAGUCUGAUGUGAAAGCCUUGGGCUUAACCGGAGAAUUGCAUCAGAAACUGGUGAGCUUGAGUGCAGAAGAGGAGGGUAGAACGCCAUGUGUAGCGGUGGAAUGCGUAGAUAUAUGGAAGAACACCAGUGGCGAAGGCGGCUCUCUGGAC